GCCCACAAUGACGAACACACCCUUCAGAGAGGAGGAUCUGUGUCGCACCGUCGUGCCCGAUCCGACUGCUUGCAGAACCGCCUGCCAAUCACACAACACUUUGGGAGGGUGAGCACAAUACCAUAUCUAAUCUUAGGUAUUUUAAAAAUUUGUUUCCAAUGUCUUUAUCAUUUUCAAGGAUAACAUAAGAUGGUAUUGCCAUGCUUCUUUUCCAUAAUCAAAACACAAGAAGAUAAAGUCUCAUCCAAAAACUGAUUAAAGAGAUUUAAAGAAAAGAUUACAUAAAUAAAUGAAAAGUAAAUAAAUAUAUGAAAAAAUGUAAACUAUGAUAAUCAUAAUAAUACAAUAAUAAUAAAAAAACAUAGUGAUAACAAUACUAACAAUAAUACUAUUACUUGUAUCAUGUCACCUUAGUAUCAUGUAGCCAUAGUUUCACUGUUAAAACUGUCAAAAUAAUAGGAUAUAUUUUCUUGCAGUGAUAAGUCUAUAUACCAGGAAGCAUUGUUGUGGCAGUUUUAGUUUCCUUACAUCUUUAGAUAUCCCCCAAAUAAUUACAAUUGCAUCUGGAUUUAUCUGAAAUGUAAUAUCUUUGACAAAAAAAGAGAAGAUAUCAAUCCAUUAUCCUUGUAUUUUGUGGCAAAGAGCGUUGCUGUGAAGUAAAUAUUUGAUACAAUUGGAACAGAUACCAUCCACAUGCAUCGUCCUCAUUACCUAAUCUUCUUAUUCUACUGUCCUGCACUGCUUCUUUGUGCUAUUUUGUGCCAUUUCUUUGCUCCACUUUAUUGUGAUUUACCCCAACAUCGGUCACUUCUGUUGCGUUGCUGUCUCUUUGCUUUGUUACUCUAUGUUGCCUCAUGUCAGUCGCGUCCUCGUCGGCCUGUACACCAACACAGGGCUCCCGGAGACGAAGAGGACAUGCAGGACAAUGGGGACACAUGGGAUGGGUGAGAGUCAGAGAGAAACUGAGAGAUGGAGAAAUGUGGGGAAACCCUAGGAGAAAUAUUUUCAAAAGCAUUUUCUUGUUUGUGCCAUUCUUAUUUCUUAUCUCUGUGCAACAGGGCUGUGUCUGGGGCUGUGAUCGAGCCAGACACACAGCUCCAGAAGGAUAAAGACGAAGAGGAAGAUUCACUGCUGUGUGACCCGGAGGAGAUGGAUCUGCUGGGGGAGAUCUUUGACACGCUCAGCUCCCGGAGCUCCCACGAACGCGGCCUGCUGUAUGGCACGCGCAGCCUGGAUCUGUUUGGACCGGACAGCCAUGACUAUAUCAGGAAGGGCAGUUUUCCAGCCAACCCCAGCCAGGAGAGCCUGUCUCUGUCCUUGAGUGGCAGUGGCAGCAUACACAGCUGGAAUCUGGAGACCACGGAGGAGCUGUCAGACCUGACGGAAGACUCUGAUUGCCUUUGCUUGGACACCAGCGUACCAGAAGAGGAGGGGAAAGAGAGUCUGCUGGCAGCGUGUGAAAUGGGGCAGCAAGAAAGCAGACUACAGGAAGUAGUGAAGGUAGCAAUAAACGGGAACCGAAAAGAAGAAACAGACAGCGGAAAUAACUUUAAGGAAGUGAAGUUAGAGGAAGAGACGGAGAUUCAGGAAAAGACAGUGAGUUUAGGAGAGGUCCCUGUGAAAGAAAUGGCUGAGAAGCGAGAGGAUGGUGGGUUGAAAGAAAAGAGGGAAGAUGUGCAAAAUCAGAGUGAGGAGGUAGCUGAGGGACAAGAGAUGGAUAAAGGAACAAAUGAAAUGCAGAAAGGUGAAGCAAGAGAAGAAGAGGGACAAGAGAAGGAGAAAGGUGAAGCAAGAGAAGAAGAGGGACAAGAGAAGGAGAAAGGUGAGGAAGUGACCUUAAACAAACUUAUAAAACUGAAUCCCCAUCAUCCCAACGGCGAGGAGGAGCAGCAGGGACUGGAGGACAAUCUGGAACCCGCAUCUUCUCCUGGGCCUCGGAGUCUCAGUGUUGACCCUAAACCUACAGCAGGUCAUGAAAAAAGAAGUGAAGAAGCAGUAAAGACAGAGGAGCUGGAGAUGAGACAGACCGCCUCCUCGCCUGAAGUGCUAUCUGCUGUAACACGCUUCCAGCUAAAGUGCAGCAACAAGCAACCGGCUGAACCUGGGAGACCUUGCAACACACUUUGGAGCAAGGAGAAUGCACAAACUCACCUGCCAUGUGACUCGAAUAUAUCAGAGGGAAAAAAACGUUCAGAGGAUGAACGAGAGGAGGAAGACCCGCCUCUGAUCAAAGUGUCUGAACUGAAGAAGAAAUUUGAAGCUUAA
ensembl:lncRNA